rnacentral:rRNA from 1 species
CGAUCGGGGGUAACUCCGGUAGUGGCGGACGGGUGAGUAACGCGUAGGUAUCUGUCCAUGGGUGGGGGAUAACAGUGGGAAACUGCUGCUAAUACCGCAUGAUGACCGAGGUCCAAAGGCGCAAGUCGCCUGUGGAGGAGCCUGCGUACGAUUAGCUUGUUGGUGGGGUAACUGCCUACCAAGGCGACGAUCGUUAGCUGGUCUGAGAGGAUGAUCAGCCACACUGGGACUGAGACACGGCCCAGACUCC